rnacentral:misc_RNA from 1 species
GUGAGGUACAUCGAAGUGGCGUGCCCUGAAGACGUGGUGGGGGUGUUGUGGGGGUGGGCACUCCUGAGGACUCGUCGGGAGACGGCCUGCUCGAGGAGCUUUUCCCUGAGGGGCGGCACCAUCGCCAACAAGGCGCGGGCGCACGGAACCGCCAGCAGAACGGCACGCUACCGGUGGAGGUACUGUACCUCUCGCGCCGCAGUUUGGAGGGGGCGGUGAUCUACAUGCAGGCAAGACCUCCCACCUGGAAUUCGGCACUCUCUCUCGUCGCUGCCUCCCGCACCAUGCGACGUUUCGCUGCGAUGCAGUAUGCCGUGUUCGGCGGCGCGAACGGGCUCGUGCUCUCCACCAGUAGGCCAGCAGGUCGUGGGUGCGCUGUACCUUCCACAUGUUCUGCGGUCGCAUCGGAUCGCAGGAGUCGUGGAGGAGGCGUCGGACAGCAUGCCCGCUGUCUUGACCGCGGGCGAUUCUGCGCCCUCAGCCAGCGUACCGUAGGCGCCACGUCGCAAGCUCCGCGCGGUGGGGCCGGCCUUAUCAGUCUCUCACAGCGCAUGCGCGCGACAGCAGUAAUACAGCGAGGAUCGCGGCCUGCACAUGACUCUCCGCUGCUUCGCACAUCACCUGCCUGUACGGAUAGCAGAUGGGCCGGCAGCGGCCGCUUGCCUCCAGCCUUGGCCUACACGAGGCGCCCGCUUCACGGCAGAACACCCUCGCUCUACCCCAGUUGGGGCAACGGUCGCCUUGGUGACGGACCAUCACCACCCCUCCUCAUCCUGCAUGCGCAGAAAGCAGCUGAAUGGGUUUUAGCGGCAGUGGGUGUCGGCCUGGCGCUGAACACGCUGGGCGCGUACACGCGCCGUUUGGUUUCACGAACGGAGCAUCGACGUUGUGUUCUUCUACACCGCCCCGGCUCACUGAACCCUGCCGACACGCAACUCGCGUACCUUUGAGGAGUGCAACUCCGCGCCGGGCUCAUCUCUCGCCCGCUCGCAUGCGAAGGACGUGGCGCUGCCACUUGCGAGCGGCACCCUUACCCCGCUGCGCGAGGGCCGGAGGAAGGUCACAGAACGGCUGUCGGAGGAGCAAAAUCUGUUGCAGGAUUACGAUGGGGUGAUCCGUGUUUCGUCACAGCGAGUCCUCUCACGAAGGGCAGCGGUGGCUUCAGGGAGCACCGACGAAGUAAAUCCCGGGCGAGAGAGCCCCAUCCCCCCUCUGCAUGCUGAGCCGUGCGUGUGCCCCGCUCUUUUCAUCCCCGUGCUCUCUUUGUGCUGUUCAAGGCUUGCUGAGCGAAGAUGGACGACCAGUACUCGCGUCUUCCGGCAGCUUAGUGUCAACUAGCUAUCCUACAACCUUCCCUGCGCACCCACCCACCCUUCCCCUUACCAUUCGCCAUUCCGCCCCUCGCCGCUUGAAUGCACCGCUGCGCGCCAUCGCCAGCCGCGAGCCUGCGCAUGUGUCUCGCUGUGCGUGUCGUGUUUUGCUUCUCGUGUGUGUGUGUGUGUGUGUGCCGAAGCGAUCCGCAUAGCACCCCCUAUCGCCCAUCCAAUAG